UAUGGUCAUAUCAGGUUGAAAUACCGGUUUUUGUAUGAUCACUGAAGUUAAGCAACGUCGAACCUGGUCAGUAACUAGAUGGGUGACCACUUGCGAAUUACCAAGUGCUGCAAGC